rnacentral:rRNA from 1 species
GAUGAACGCUAGCUACAGGCUUAACACAUGCAAGUCGAGGGGAAACGACAUCGAAAGCUUGCUUUUGAUGGGCGUCGACCGGCGCACGGGUGAGUAACGCGUAUCCAACCUGCCCACCACUUGGGGAUAACCUUGCGAAAGUAAGACUAAUACCCAAUGAUAUCUCUAGAAGACAUCUGAAAGAGAUUAAAGAUUUAUCGGUGAUGGAUGGGGAUGCGUCUGAUUAGCUUGUUGGCGGGGUAACGGCCCACCAAGGCGACGAUCAGUAGGGGGCCACAGAGGAAGGUCCCCCACAUUGGAACUGAGACACGGUCCCAACUCCUACUGGAGGCAGCAAUGAGGAAUAUUGUUCAAUGGGCGAGAGCCUGAACCAGCCAAGUAGCGUGCAGGAUGACGGCCCUAUGGGUUGUAAACUGCUUUUAUAAGGGAAUAAGGUGAGUCUCGUGAGACUUUUUGCAUGUACCUUAUGAAUAAGGACCGGCUAAUUCCGUGCCAGCCGCCGCCGUAA